AUGAAUUUAAAAAGAGCUCCUGGAGAAUUUGACAGAGUAAGAAUGUCUUUGUGGCCCACCCAGGAAAAUCUCAGGACUUUUGUGAAGCUUCAUAGUCAUGUGGUGUAGAUUUUUAGGAUUAUCACUAUUUGGUAAAGAAUACUGUGUCCUAAGCCUUCCAUAUGUUGGGUGGUUUCUGCCCACAGCAACUUUUCAGGUUGCUCCUGAUCAGAGGUGAAGCAUGGAAUGACUGGUACAGCCAGAUACCUUCUCCAAAGUCGCAUAUUUCAUCGAUGACUCCUUCUUAAGUAAAAUAAACUUACGUUACUAUACACAGUGUCCAAAUUAAGU